CCGUACGAUGACCGAAGUUAAGCAACGGCGAGCCUGCUCAGUACCUAGAUGGGUGACCGCUUGGGAAUACCAGGUGCUGUAAG
rnacentral:rRNA from 1 species